AACUGUCUGCCAGAAAUGAAGGACUUCCUAAAAAACUUUCCCUUUAGGGAAUUCAGUGUCUUUAUCACCAUCGUCGGCAGUUUUACUUAUAAUGUUUUACUUGAAAGAGAUGUGGUCUGCACUUGCAUAGAUGUCGAUACAGACUGCUGGAUAUACCUUUUUAUGCCGGUGUUUAUAAUUUUUUUCUUAAUACUUUGGACAGACAAGAUAUUACAGAGAACCUGCAACUACUAUAUAUUUGUAUGUUCAGAAAAGCUAGCUUUUUUCCGAGCUCGGUGUCUACAAAAGCUAGCUUCUUUGCGAGCUAGGUGUCUAAAAAAGCUAGCUUUUUUGCGAGCUUGUUGUCUAAAAAAGCCUGAUAAACCUGAUGUGGAGCAUCAACCACUUGAUGAGCAGCAAGAUCAACAAAAGAAUUCAAACUGCAGGGGAGCAUUAUGUGGUGUUUUCUGGAGUCGCAUUAUCAAGGCACUUUGUAUUGGUGUGCUGUGGGCUAUUUCUGUGCUCAUCGAUGGAGACUGGUAUGUUUGCUGUCAGAAUGAUCAUUCUGAAAAGCAAUCACAGUUAGCCUGCAAAGAUAAAACCAACAUGACACCUGAAGAAAAUGUGGACAUCAAUACCCUGAAAAACAAAUCAAGACUUUUUGGCUUCUCUGUGCUCUUGGCUAUGAUUUUUCUGGCAGCCCUGAUGUCACUAUUUGACCGGAGAUGCUAUUACAGCAAAAGACAAGUCUAUGACAGCGUGAUCCUGGAAGAAGGGGAAGAUGUACUGAAAGACACUUUGAGAAAAGCAGCGAAAGAUGAGUUACUUAAAAUGAUCUCUGAAAAAAUAAAUGGAAAUGACAAUAGGAAUGGAGGUGGAAAUGAGAACAAAGGAGGAAAUGGAAAUGGAGGAGGAAAUGGAAACAGACAUAGGAAUGGAGGUGAGAAUGGGAAUGGGGGACAAGAAGGAAAUCAAGGGGGUGGACAAGAAAAUGGGAAUGGAGUAGGAAACGUAGGUGGAAAUGAGAACGGAGGAGGAAAUGGAAAUGGAGGAGGAAAUGGAAACAGACAUAGGAAUGGAGUAGGAAACGUAGGUGGAAAUGAGAACGGAGGAGGAAAUGGAAAUGGAGGAGGAAAUGGAAACAGACAUAGGAAUGGAGGAGGAAAUGGAAAUGGAGGAGGAAAUGGAAACAGACAUAGGAAUGGAGGUGAGAAUGGGAAUGGGGGACAAGAAGGAAAUCAAGGGGGUGGACAAGAAAAUGGGAAUGGAGUAGGAAACGUAGGUGGAAAUGAGAACGGAGGAGGAAAUGGAAAUGGAGGAGGAAAUGGAAACAGACAUAGGAAUGGAGGUGAGAAUGGGAAUGGGGGACAAGAAGGAAAUCAAGGGGGUGGACAAGAAAAUGGGAAUGGAGUAGGAAACGUAGGUGGAAAUGAGAACGGAGGAGGAAAUAGAAAUGGAGGAGGAAAUGGAAACAGACAUAGGAAUGGAGGUGAGAAUGGGAAUGGGGGACAAGAAGGAAAUCAAGGGGGUGGACAAGAAAAUGGGAAUGGAGUAGGAAACGUAGGUGGAAAUGAGAACGGAGGAGGAAAUGGAAAUGGAGGAGGAAAAGGUAAAGAGGGUGGAAAUGAGCAUAAAUGGAUAGAAUGUUUUGAUGUUGCUGCACAAAUGAUUAAAAACUCAAGCAUACCAAAACUUUCCAAAGAACAACGAAAGGAAGAAAUAGUAGUACGGAUCCACAGUGAGCUCUGAAACAGCAGCAGAAGUGACUGACUGUCAACAUCUUUUACAGCACCGUGCUGAAAUUGCCUUGAACAGCAAUUUAAAGUAAUUUAAAAAUCAUAAAACUCCACAAACUAAUUCCACAUGAUUAUUAUUGUAUUUUAUAUUUAAGUCUUUUUCUUAUAAAUGACUGUCCAACAUUCAACUUAUAGUUACAUUAAAGUUGUUAAAUGUGUAAGAGAUUAUUUAGUGACUUUAUAUUUGUUUUCUUUUGUAUGGGAUGGAUUUGGACAAAUAUAAUAUAUAACAGGUUCUCUUGUUCCUGCAUGGUGCUGCCCUUAAUGUUUGCAGGUAACUGCCAUUUUGUGGCAUUGAUGUAAAAAGCCAGUUUGAGUCUCAGGCUACAUCCACAUGUACACGGGUAUUUUUGAAAACAGAGAUUUUCCGUUUUCUUUUUUUCUUUUUUUUAAUCCUGUCUAAAUGCUGCCAGGAACAUGCCAAAGCAACAGGUGGUGAUAUAUUCCUAACCAUGUAGAAAUGUAAUGUCGGUUGAUGCAUGCACUCUAUAUUCAUAUAUUUCUUUAACACACAUAUAUACAAUUGUAAAAGCAAAACCUUUUACUGUUAUACAAGAAAAUCAUUAGUACAUCAUUAAUGUCAAAGUUUUUUACAGUGAAUAUGGUCGUGUUCUUGUGAGAAGUCAUUGUUCUAGACCUUUUUUCUGAACAAACAUGUUGACUCGUGACCUCCAAUAAAAGAAAUAAAAGCUUGGGAGUCCCUGUAGCAGCUUCAGUAACUAAGUCCAAUAAAUUAUCUACAUUUGUGAUUUUUCUGCUUUGGAAUUUUAGGAUCUGUGCUGUGAAAAAAGCUUUAAUAUUUAAAUCUGAUCACUUUUUAAUACUUGCUGUUGGACUCUUUCACCUUAAUGAGCUAAUCACCAACAUCUGUAUGCUGCCUGCUCCAUUCAUGUCUCUGUAUUUUUUGUGACUAUUUUUUUUUGUUUGUGCCACUAUCUAGUCAUUUACAUGUCUUGCUUGAUUGAUGUCAUUUCUUUGUCAUUUAUUUCUCUUUGAUUUUUUUUCCCCUUAAAUUGCGAUUUUGUGUUUCUGUCUUCUCUUUUCUUUGUUGUUGAUGUGUUUGCCUUUCUGUUUUCUUCAUUUCUGUGUGGUCACUUUGUAGAUAGGGCACUGAAAAUUUAAAAAAAAAUCAAAUAAUAAGUAAGCGGGGAUGGGGAUCAGUGUGAAAUUCAUCUAGUCUUAAGGUCUCUUUUAAUUUAAAAAGAAUAUUAAACAAUUAAUAUGAAACCUUUUUUAUUAUCUCAAGAACUUUAGUUGACCUGCUUAUUUUAAAAUAAGUGUAUUCAGAUGCAUGAAAUCAGAUGAUUGUUUCUCAAAAUAAUAUUUAUCUGUGUUUAAAUAACAAUAAAUAACAGAUUGUCAGAUCAAUUGAAAUGACAGGGCAAAGAAAUUGUUGAGCUCUUCUUUUAGUAUGUGGCUGUUGUCAGUGGUUUGGGGUCCCUGGCCUUUGCAGCUGGUGAAUAAUCAUUUGGAUGUUAUUAAAAAGAGUACCUUAAACUGCAGCAUUCAGGCUUCUAUUUUUCUCUUGUUUUUCUCUUGCUUCACUCUGGCGUCUCCUGCUGGAUUAAGGCUCAAAGUGUAGGUGUAUUUUCCUCACCAACCAGGAAACUUUGCUUCUUUUUAUUUAUUUCAAGGGCGUAGAUUUGGUUUUGGCAUUGGUGGGGACGGAUGAUUCAACCACCAAACUCUGCCCUGUUUCUUUUUUUUUUCCGUUUUGUUUUUGCUUCUUAAUAAAAAGAGGAGAAAUAUACUUGCCUACAUAUGCUAUUCUACGUGCUUUUAAACCAUUUAAAAUCACAAUUCAUAGUUAUAUGUGAAUUAUAUAAUGUUAAAUUACUAUUAAACAAAUGACUAAGUAUUUU
ensembl:lncRNA